CAUGCAGUGCUGCAAACUAAUAGCAUAACACUGUACUUGUCCUGAACUGUGAGACUCUUACAAAUACAAGGAUUUUGCUGAGAGGAACUGAGAUGAAGCAUACAAAGCCAAAAAUGUAUAAACCCUGGAUAAUCAAUCUGUCUAUAAAGGAGAAACACGUCAACUGUUAAUGGAUACUGAUGGAUUUUAAGGGUCGCCAUGAAUGCAAAAUGGAUUUUUGAUGGAUUUGAGGGUAUGCAUAGUUAUGUCACAUGAAUGCUUUAAUG